AUGCUGAAUGGAUCAUUUACAUUCGUGGAGCACUUCAGGACUCACGGCAGCCAACUACCAGGCCUCCGCUGUGGGAAUCUUCUUGGUAUGCAGGCACAGACAAGCCCCUUGAAGAUGGCUGCUGCCCCAGGUCUCAGCAGUUCUGGAUUUUCUCAUCUCCUGAGUGGAGAUAGAGUUGUGGACGUUUACCUCCUUGGUUUUGAUCUCUCCUUUAUACUGCAGCCAGAUUUAAGUAUCUACCUCAUCCUUUCCACCCAAGGAGUGUCUGUAAGAUUCCUUCAAGAUUCAAGACAAAAGUCUCUUCCUUCAAGAAACAUUCCAAAAUACCUCCAAUCAUAAAUGAAUACUCUUUCUUUCCCCAGAUCAACAAUGCAUUCUUUUUGGUUUUUUUUUCUGCCCUGUGCUAUAGUGGGGCAGAAAUCAUCUGUUUCAAGGUCAAAUGAUACUGCUGCAAUUACCCCAGUUAAGAUGACCAUCAUCUAUUUCUGGGAUUACUGUAUGGUUAUUCCUAACUAGCUCUCUUGGGUGAAAUCUUGCUCCUUCUAACAAUCCAUUUUCUACCCCAGUGUUCUCAACUGUUAGACUAUCACAUAGAGGAUAACUAUCUAUAGGCGAUAUCACCAGAUUUUAAUGAAUAUGUGAGUUUUAACUGGAGCUUCAUAAAUAAACAGUUAAAAUGGUUUGACGGGAUGUUUAAC
rnacentral:lncRNA from 1 species